UACGGGGGGGGCAAGCGUUGUUCGGAAUUACUGGGCGUAAAGGGCUCGUAGGCGGCCAACUAAGUCGGAUGUGAAAUCCCCAGGCUUAACCUGGGAACUGCAUCCGAUAUUGGAUGGCUUGAAUCCGGGAGAGGGAUGCAGAAUUCCAGGUGUAGCGGUGAAAUGCGUAGAUAUCUGGAGGAAUACCGGUGGCGAAGGCGGCAUCCUGGACCGGCAUUGACGCUGAGUGAGCGAAAGCCAGGGGAGCAAACGGG
rnacentral:rRNA from 1 species